rnacentral:rRNA from 1 species
ACCGUGGAGGGUCAUUGGAAACUGGAAAACUGGAGUGCAGAAGAGGAAAGUGAAAUUCCAUGUGUAGCGGUGAAAUGCGCAGAGAUAUGGAGGAACACCAGUGGCGAAGGCGACUUUCUGGUCUGUAACUGACGCUGAUGUGCGAAAGCGUGGGGAUCAAACAGGAUUAGAUACCCUGGUAGUCCACGCCGUAAACGAUGAGUGCUAAGUGUUAGGGGGUUUCCGCCCUUUAGUGCUGCAGCUAACGCAUUAAGCACUCCGCCUGGGGAGUACGACCGCAAGGUUGAAACUCAAAGGAAUUGACGGGGACCCGCACAAGCGGUGGAGCAUGUGGUCUAAUUCGAAGCAACGCGAAGAACCUUACCAAAUCUUGACAUCCUUUGACCGCUCUAGAGAUAGAGUCUUCCCCUUCGGGGGACAAAGUGACAGGUGGUGCAUGGUCGUCGUCAGCUCGUGUCGUGAGAUGUUGGGUUAAGUCCCGCAACGAGCGCAACCCUUAAGCUUAGUUGCCAUCAUUUAGUUGGGCACUCUAAGUUGACUGCCGGUGACAAACCGGAGGAAGGUGGGGAUGACGUCAAAUCAUCAUGCCCCUUAUGAUUUGGGCUACACACGUGCUACAAUGGACAAUACAAAGGGCAGCGAAACCGCGAGGUCAAGCAAAUCCCAUAAAGUUGUUCUCAGUUCGGAUUGUAGUCUGCAACUCGACUACAUGAAGCUGGAAUCGCUAGUAAUCGUAGAUCAGCAUGCUACGGUGAAUACGUUCCCGGGUCUUGUACACACCGCCCGUCACACCACGAGAGUUUGUAACACCCGAAGCCGGUGGAG